AUUAUGGCUCAGAUUGAACGCUAGCGGGAUGCCUUACACAUGCAAGUCGAACGGCAGCACGGACUUCGGUCUGGUGGCGAGUGGCGAACGGGUGAGUAAUGUAUCGGAACGUGCCUAGUAGCGGGGGAUAACUACGCGAAAGCGUAGCUAAUACCGCAUACGCCCUACGGGGGAAAGCAGGGGAUCGCAAGACCUUGCACUAUUAGAGCGGCCGAUAUCGGAUUAGCUAGUUGGUGGGGUAACGGCUCACCAAGGCGACGAUCCGUAGCUGGUUUGAGAGGACGACCAGCCACACUGGGACUGAGACACGGCCCAGACUCCUACGGGAGGCAGCAGUGGGGAAUUUUGGACAAUGGGGGAAACCCUGAUCCAGCCAUCCCGCGUGUGCGAUGAAGGCCUUCGGGUUGUAAAGCACUUUUGGCAGGAAAGAAACGUCAUGGGUUAAUACCCCGUGAAACUGACGGUACCUGCAGAAUAAGCACCGGCUAACUACGUGCCAGCAGCCGCGGUAAUACGUAGGGUGCAAGCGUUAAUCGGAAUUACUGGGCGUAAAGCGUGCGCAGGCGGUUCGGAAAGAAAGAUGUGAAAUCCCAGAGCUUAACUUUGGAACUGCAUUUUUAACUACCGAGCUAGAGUGUGUCAGAGGGAGGUGGAAUUCCGCGUGUAGCAGUGAAAUGCGUAGAUAUGCGGAGGAACACCGAUGGCGAAGGCAGCCUCCUGGGAUAACACUGACGCU
rnacentral:rRNA from 1 species